rnacentral:rRNA from 1 species
UACGGGGGGGGCAAGCGUUGUUCGGAAUUACUGGGCGUAAAGGGUGCGUAGGCGGCCUGCUAAGUCGGAUGUGAAAUCCCUCGGCUCAACCGAGGAACUGCAUCCGAUACUGGCGGGCUUGAAUCCGGGAGAGGGAUGUGGAAUUCCAGGUGUAGCGGUGAAAUGCGUAGAUAUCUGGAGGAACACCGGUGGCGAAGGCGGCACCCUGGACCGGUAUUGACGCUGAGGCGCGAAAGCUAGGGGAGCAAACGGG